rnacentral:rRNA from 1 species
UGGGGAAUAUUGGACAAUGGGCGAAAGCCUGAUCCAGCCAUGCCGCGUGUGUGAAGAAGGUCUUCGGAUUGUAAAGCACUUUAAGUUGGGAGGAAGGGCAGUAAGCGAAUACCUUGCUGUUUUGACGUUACCGACAGAAUAAGCACCGGCUAACUCUGUGCCAGCAGCCGCGGUAAUACAGAGGGUGCAAGCGUUAAUCGGAAUUACUGGGCGUAAAGCGCGCGUAGGUGGUUCGUUAAGUUGAAUGUGAAAGCCCCGGGCUCAACCUGGGAACUGCAUCCAAAACUGGCGAGCUAUAGUAGGGCAGAGGGUGGUGGAAUUUCCUGUGUAGCGGUGAAAUGCGUAGAUAUAGGAAGGAACACCAGUGGCGAAGGCGACCACCUGGGCUCAUACUGACACUGAGGUGCGAAAGCGUGGGGAGCAAACAGG